AUAAGGUUUCCAUACAUUUUUUUACUUAUUAAAGCAUAGUUGAGGGCAAAUAGGUCAUUUUAAAAGUUAACCCAUUUUUAACCUUUUAAUAACUAUAGUAAAACUAACACAACUGACGGUAGGGGUAUUGGUGAUAAUUUUCAGUGUUUAUAGGGGCAUAUGUGAUAUUUUAAACUUUAUAGAGGCAUGUAUGAUAUUUUAAACUUUGGGAGGGGUAUGUAUGAAAUUGCCCCAUUAUUAUAUAUCAAUAAUAUAUAAUAUAUAUACAAUAAUAAAAAAUAUAUAAAAUAUUUUUUUAUUUAUAAAUUUUUUCUUUUUUUCUCCUUUCAACCAAACAACCGGAAAACUUUUUUUUUUCUACAAACCAAACAUUAGAACGCUUAAAAUUUAUUUUCCUUCAAAAAAAAAAUUUUACCAAAUUUUGUUUCUACAGUUUUACGCAGAACCAAACACACCGUAAGCUUAAGCCCAACUUGUUUAUGGACCUGAUUUGGCCCGAAGGACUCAAGCCCGUGCCCAUCUGUCAGACUUUCAGCUUGGGUGGUCGCCUGGCCCAUGAUCAGAUUUACAGAUGUAGUAGUAGAUUUUUUUUAAAAAAAAGAAAAAUAGCAUGUUAUUUUUUUUUAUUUAUAAAAAAAUAUUGAAUUGAUUAUGACUUAGUUUGGUAUUAAAGUCCAUCUGACGCUAUUAGAUAAAAUAAAGUUAGAGUAAAAAUAUAUAUAGAUAUGUUUAUGCGUUUUUCGGUGGGACCGCAGAGAAUAUAUCGCGACUCAUCACGAUAUAUGAAACAUAAUAUUGCAUAUUUUUUAUCGUACUUUUUUAUGGUACGUAAUGUAAUUUUUUCGCAAUUACAAUAAUGAGACAAUAAAAUUUCAAAAAAGGCAAAA
rnacentral:lncRNA from 1 species